GUAGUCAUAUGCUUGUCUCAAAGAUUAAGCCAUGCAUGUCUAAGUAUAAACAAAUUUAUACUGUGAAACUGCGAAUGGCUCAUUAAAUCAGUUAUAGUUUAUUUGAUGGUACCUUGCUACAUGGAUAACUGUGGUAAUUCUAGAGCUAAUACAUGCAAUAAAACCCUGACUUCUGGAAGGGGUGUAUUUAUUAGAUAAAAAACCAACGCGGCUCGCCGCUCCCUUGGUGAUUCAUAAUAACUUCUCGAAUCGCAUGGCCUUGUGCCAGCGAUGCUUCAUUCAAAUAUCUGCCCUAUCAACUUUCGAUGGUAGGGUAGAGGCCUACCAUGGUUUCAACGGGUAACGGGGAAU
rnacentral:rRNA from 1 species